GAUGAACGCUGGCGGCGUGCCUAAUACAUGCAAGUCGAGCGAACAGACGAGGAGCUUGCUCCUCUGACGUUAGCGGCGGACGGGUGAGUAACACGUGGAUAACCUACCUAUAAGACUGGGAUAACUUCGGGAAACCGGAGCUAAUACCGGAUAAUAUAUUGAACCGCAUGGUUCAAUAGUGAAAGACGGUUUUGCUGUCACUUAUAGAUGGAUCCGCGCCGCAUUAGCUAGUUGGUAAGGUAACGGCUUACCAAGGCAACGAUGCGUAGCCGACCUGAGAGGGGAUCCGCCACCAUGGAAAUGGAGCAAGGUCCCAGCUCCUAAGGGAGGGAGCAGUAGGGAAACUUCCGCAAUGGGGCGAAGCCUGACGGGGCCAAGGCGCGUGAGUGAUGAAGGUCUUCCGAUCGGUAAACCCUGUUAAUAGGGAAGAACAAAUGUGUAAGUAACUAUGCACGUCUUGACGGUACCUAAUCAGAAAGCCACGGCUAACUACGUG
rnacentral:rRNA from 1 species